GAUGAACGCUGGCGGCGUGCCUAAUACAUGCAAGUCGAGCGAACAGAUGAGGAGCUUGCUCCUCUGACGUUAGCGGCGGACGGGUGAGUAACACGUGGAUAACCUACCUAUAAGACUGGGAUAACUUCGGGAAACCGGAGCUAAUACCGGAUAAUAUAUUGAACCGCAUGGUUCAAUAGUGAAAGACGGUUUUGCUGUCACUUAUAGAUGGAUCCGCGCCGCAUUAGCUAGUUGGUAAGGUAACGGCUUACCAAGGCAACGAUGCGUAGCCGACCUGAGAGGGUGAUCGGCAACACUGGAACUGAGACACGGUCCAGACUCCUAAGGGAGGCAGCAGUAGGGAAUCUUCCGCAAUGGGCGAAAGCCUGACGGAGCAACGCCGCGUGAGUGAUGAAGGUCUUCGGAUCGUAAAACUCUGUUAUUAGGGAAGAACAAAUGUGUAAGUAACUAUGCACGUCUUGACGGUACCUAAUCAGAAAGCCACGGCUAACUACGUG
rnacentral:rRNA from 1 species